GAAACGCAGUAGGAGGAGUGACGGGAACCGGGAGCCGGCUCCAUGCGCCUGGAGCGCGCGGGUCCCAGCGCCCAUCGGCCCGGGGUCCGAGGGGCCCGCUGCCCGGGCUCGCUGCGUGGUGCUACCGCCCCCGGGCCCGCUGCGCCGCGUCGGAGCCCCAGCAGACUUUGAGAGGCGUGUGCGACAGUGCGCGUCCUCUCCUGCCUCUGGAUGUUUCCUUGGAGCCUCUGGCCUUCGGGAAGACCGGUGCCAUCCAGAUUCCAACAGUGACUUUUAGCUCUGAGAAGUCCAAUACUACAGCCCUGGCUGAGUUCGGAAAAUACAUUCAUAAAGCCUGAUGGCCUGGUGUUGGGCCUGAUCACCCCAAAAUUUCAGGCACCCAACGUGGGGCUAUGAAGACCAUGGUAAAGAAAUGCUAGAGUAUAUGGAAAUGAAGGACAUAUCAUCAAAGGACACCCGAGGAUGGCUGAAAGAAGCUUGGUGGGUAAGCUGGGCACUCUGAAGAACCAAGGUAACAAUGGGACAAAAUGAAAUGCCACUGGGUUAGAGUCUCCCCGACCAAGCUGGUCUCAGCAAGUGGUCUCCAUCAUGGGGGCUCGAAUCCAGGUUGAAGGGUCACCAGAGUGAUGGUUGGAGAACAUGGAACUAGCUGGAGGACACCUGAGUACUCUUAAAGCAAACCCCGUGGCCAAAAUCAAUAACCAAUUUGGAUACCAUCAAGACACCUGAAACCUUAUCAUGAGCCAGAUGCUGAGGAAGAGAUUCCAGGAGGAUCCUGAGGACCCCCUGGUUGCAGCCACGUCGAGGCUGACACUGAGGAGGACCCCAACUGUCAUGAGCAACACCCGUCGAACACAGCCAUCCACCUGGGGACAAAUCAAGAAGCUGUCACAGAUGAUGGAAGAAAACCUGAGGAAAGCGGGACAACCAAUCACAAUGAGUAAUUUGGUGAUCUAUCACAGUGAUGAUCACCAUUGCCAUGAGUAUUCCUUCAACAAGGGCUGACACAGAGAACAAUUAUACUUAUUGGGCAUAUUUAUCAAUCUUGUCUGGCAAUAAUGCCUAGAUGAUUUCACUCUAUGGCACAGUUACACAUGCUUUCUGAUCUCAGUAUUUACCAUAAUAAAUCUGCUCCUAUAAUUGAGGCAUACCACCCUCAAAAACCUAUUUGUAAACAAAAUAGAACCUGGCCAGAAAUAAUGAACAACUUGUUUAGUAAGAUUGCAUUGCAGAACAGGCAGAGAUGCUACGCAAUGAUUCCUAUGGGAUCAUUGAUUGGUCCCCUAAGGGGAUGUUUAGCUUAAAUUGCACCUCUCAGUCUGCAUGCCAUGGCCACACUAGUUCAGAUGGUCUGAACAAAGUGGUCAGAUGGCAGAAAUGAUAAGAAGUAUGGCAAAAGUUCCUAUUGUCUGGAACCAUGGCAGUAUAGUGUCACCUCAACCUCAAAUGAUAUGGCUCAUUGUAGGAGCUAAACAUAAGGAUUUGUGGAAACUAUUAAUAGCUCUUAAUAAGAUCAAAAUUUGGGAAAGAAUAAAAAAAGCAUCUAGAAAGACACUCUACAAACUUGUCUUUGGAUAUUACAAAAUUAAAAGAACAAAUAUUUAAAGCAUCCCAGGUACACCUGACCUUAAUGACAGAAACUGGAGUGCUUGAAGGAGCUGCAGACAGAUUAGCAGCUAGUAACCCAUUAAAAUGGAUAAAAACACUUGGAAGCUCUGUGAUUUCAAUGAUGAUUGUGCUUUUAAUCGGUAUUGUUUGUCUUUGUAUAGUGUGCAGAUGUGGAUCCUGACUCCUGUGAGAAGUAGCUCACAGUGUCAAAGCUGCCUUUGCUUUUAUCGAUUUGCAAAUCAAAUAAGGGGGACAUAUUGGGAACAGCACCCCCCCCCCCAAAAUCUGGCCAUAAACUGGUCCCAAAACUGGCCAUAAACAAAAUCUCUGCAGCACUGACAUGUUCAUGAUGGUCUUAAUGCCCACGCUGGAAGGUUGUGGGUUUACCAGAAUGAGAGCAAGGAACACCUGGCCCACCCAGGGUGGAAAACCACUUAAAGGCAUUCUUAAACCACAAACAAUAGCAUGAGUGAUCUGUGCCUUAAGGCUGUGCUACUGCUGCAGAUAACUAGCCCAACCCAUCCCUUUAUUUCAGCCCAUCCCUUCGUUUCCCAUAAGGGAUACUUUUAAUUAAUCUAAUAUGUAUAGAAAGAAUGCUAAUGACUGGCUUGCUGUUAAUAAAUAACGUGGGUAAAUCUCUGUUGGAGGCUCUCAGCUCUGAAGGCUGUGAGACCCCGGAUUUCCCACUUCACACCUCUGUAUUUCUGUGUGUCUGUCUUUAAUUCCUUUAGCACCACUGGGUUAGGGUCUCCCCGACCGAGCUGGUCUUUGCACUUCUCACUUCUGGAUAUAGGCCUCCCUAGAGGGUUUUUUUUUUCUUUUUUGAUAGGAUCUUGCUCUUUCAUCCAGGCUGGUGUGCUGUAGUGUAUUCAUGGCUUGCUGCAGUCUUGAUCUCCCAGACUCAAGUAAUCCUCCCAUCUCAGCCUCCUGAAUAGCUAGGACCACAGGCCUGUGCCACCAUGUCUGGCUACUUUAAUUUUUUUUCCCUUAGAGACAGAGUCUCACUAUGUUGCCCAGGCUGGUCUCACAUUCCUGCACUCGUCAUCUUCCUGCCUUGGCCUUCCAAAGUGCUGAGAUUACAGGCAUGAAACACUACACCUGGCCAUCCCUGGAGUAUUUCUUCCUUCCUUCCUUCCUUGCUUCCUUCCUUCCUUUUUUCUUUUCCUCCCUCCCUCUCUCUUUCUUUCUUUGUUUCUUUUUCUCCCUUUCUUCCUUUCUUUCUUUCUUUUCUUUCUUUCUUCCUUCCUUUCUUUUUCUUUCUCUCUUUCUUUCUUCUUUCCUUCCUCCUUCCCUCCUUCCCUCCCCUCCCUCCCCCUCCCCUCCCUUCCUUCCUUCCUUCUUUCCUUCCUUCCUUCCUUUCUUCCUUCCUUCUUUCCUGUCUUAUUUCAAAACACAUGUCUUC
rnacentral:lncRNA from 1 species